ACAGCAGUACUACCCUGAACAUGCCUGAUCUUGGCUGCUCUCGGAAGCUAAGCAGGGUCAGGCCUGGUUAGAACCUGGAUGGGAGACCUCAUGGGUUCCGCAGGCUUUUCCUCUU